CAUGUGCAAAGCCAAUUAUUGCGCAAUCGGUGUUUUCGCUAAAACCUGACCCGGAAAUUUAGCAUAUUUUAUACGCGUCAAUGGGAAGAAAAGAAAGGUUAACCAAAUGAAAUAUUAGCAUAAAUGGGUGGGAUUAAGUCCAAAUAUGGCGUAUAUGACCUACAUAUUAUAUAAAUGCUGAUUUUUAGUAGGGAGAAUAAGGUUUGAAAACUAAACAAAUCGCGAUUUUGUUGAAAACGGCCAUAUACGCGGAUCUUUCUGUGGUUUAAAUGAAGUUUGAUCAUUAUUCUAAAUAUAAUGGGUAACAUUUACACCGUAUUUAACCGUAAUAUAUGUGAAUUUAGGUUAUUUUCAAUAUUGGUGCGCGACCGCGAGGGGAGUUAAGAAUGGAUAAAAUUACCUCCCCUGCCAAUCGAGCACUUGCUAAUGUGGACGUUUCCGGAACGAUUGCAAACAAAAAUUAAUGCGUAUUACUUCGUAAUUGCAACAGCGAUUUGUAUCUGGUAGAUGACAAUAUUGCCGUUUGGUGCAGAAGAAACUCACUGACUCCGUGACAGAGUGUGUCCGCCUCGGGCUGGUUCAACUUUGAUUUGAGUUUUAUUAUGAGUGACCGAGACCUUUUCACAACUGAUAUCAGUGGUUCCCAGCUUUGGAGAAUGGUAUUUCUGUCUUGGCGCGGCGCACUUCGAUUCAUCUUAGCAGCAUACUUAGAAGUUGCCUGGUCCAAUACAAGAUACGGGAUAGGUAUUUCUGUCUUGGCGCGGCGCACUUUGAUUCAUCUUAGCAGCAUACUAAGAAGUUGCUUGGUCCAAUACAAGAUACAGGAUAGGUCAGUGAUGGUUAUAGAAGCAGUCAGGAGUGAAUUGUGCACUGGAAAAACAUUCUAGAGUGGAAUAAAAAACUUGGGUCAGCUUUUUGUAAAAAGUGAAAAAAGUGACUUUCCGAAUGUUGAUUUUUUGCAUAAUCUGGAGUUGUUAAAUUCUAUGUGCUUUGACAUAACAUAUUAAAAGUAUACAUUUUUGUUAUAAGUAUGGUUAUAUCUAUCUGAAACAGUAAGGUUUAAGCUGGAUUUGAUUUUUUUUAAAAAUCACUGAUUG